rnacentral:rRNA from 1 species
UACGGGGGGAGCAAACGUUGUUCGGAAUCACUGGGCGUAAAGGGCGUGUAGGCGGCCACCGCAAGUCGACUGUGAAAUCUCCGGGCUUAACCCGGAAAGGUCAGCCGAUACUGCGGGGCUAGAGUGCAGAAGGGGCAACUGGAAUUCUCGGUGUAGCGGUGAAAUGCGUAGAUAUCGAGAGGAACACCUGCGGCGAAGGCGGGUUGCUGGGCUGACACUGACGCUGAUGUGCGAAAGCUAGGGGAGCGAACGGG